UCCCGUCCUGGAGAGGGGGCCGGCUCCCACGGGAGCUUGGUGGGGGCCUUGCGGGAACCCACACUGUCAGUUGCGUCUGCAGACGUCGCCUCCCCUCCCUCCCCCGCCUCUUUGCACCCGCCCUCACCGCACCGGCUGCUUCCUGAGCGGCUGUAUCCUACCGCCCCCCUAACCCCGCUCCUCCGCCAGCAGCAAUUACGCCUAAUGGAAGCUCAGCGUGACGCAGCUCGAGGUUCUAGGCAUCUGAAGCGCUGGCGCUGAGCUCCGGUCCCCAGGGGCUGCUGGGGCCCUGUGUCUCUCUGGACGAGCUGCGGGCUGGAGGCCUCCAAAUGUCACCACCUGCGUCCACAUCACAUUCCAGAAGUCAUCCUACAGCCAGGAGCCUGGAAGCCCUGGGCACGAUGUCUGCAAACGUGAGACCAUUCUGAAACCUGGAGACUUCCCUUUCUGUCCCCUUGCCAGUGCCCCAGAGCACCCGGCUGCCGGAUGAGAAGGGGAGGAAGCUCGAUGUGUGCCAGGAACGUCUCGGAACCAUUCAACAGGAGGCUGUUCUGCCAGAUGCUGCCUUUUGGGGGAGCAGAGCACGGUAAGAGGGGGCUGCUCUUCACAGGGCAGGGUGAGAGUGGGGAGUGCCAGAAGCUCUGCCCUCAGCCUCACGCCUGGCUCUAUCCAAACCAGAGGUCUCUGCAGAACCCAGGAAGGCCUUGGACAGAGGCGAGGGCCCCUGGACAACUUCUGCUUCCCCUCCCGGUUCAGCCAGAUCUGCUGGGUCCAGCCCACACUUCUUCCUGGAAAGAAACAGCACCCAGCCACCCACCAGGCUGCUCCACGUUGGCCCCAGCCAAAGACUAAACCCCAAAGGAGGGAGGCCAGCGACCCUGCAAACAAGGCUCUCAAACCAGCAGCUGGGGAAAGGACACAGGUGGAGGGUGGAGGGCUUGGAUCCCCUUCUGCUGCCCAAGAGGAAGAAAUGAAUCCCCAGAGGCGUGGGUGACCUCUCUAUGCACUCACCCAGCACUUGAGGGCACAGAAUGGGAGCAGGUGAGGCCUGGGCCACAGCUCACUCUGAGGGCUCAGACUUAACUUCAGGGAGCCAAGGAGCAUUUAUUUAUAUCCCUGUUGCCUUCCUGGAGCAUUCAUUCCCCGAGUUUCCACCCAGGAAGUCUCAGCUAUGCCGCAGGAAGCUUUUCGGGUUCAACCUGGCACCAGAGUGUUCACAGGGACAACUGUCAGCCAUAGGAGCCGUAGUAAAGUGUGGUAUUUAUACCCAGUGGAAUGCCACCAUGCCGUCAAGAAUGAUAAACCCGAGUCAUUUGUAAGAACAUGGAUGCACCUUGAGAUCAUAAUGUCAAGUAAAAUAAAUCGGUCACAUAAGCUUAAA